rnacentral:rRNA from 1 species
AACGUAGGUGGCGAGCGUUAUUCGGAAUUAUUGGGCGUAAAGGGCGCGUAGGCGGCUUGGCAAGUGGAUGGUGAAAUCCCUCGGCUUAACCGAGGAACGGCCGUCCAAACUGCUUCGCUUGAGACCGGGAGAGGUGAGUGGAAUUCCCAGUGUAGCGGUGAAAUGCGUAGAUAUUGGGAGGAACACCAGUGGCGAAGGCGGCUCACUGGACCGGUACUGACGCUGAAGCGCGAAAGCGUGGGGAGCAAACGGG